UUUGAGCCAGGAGAAGAGGGUUGCAGACAAUUACUGCCUUGGAGGCUCAGAUGUUCUAAAGUAAAAAGGGGGAAAACUCAUAAUUUACCUGUACUGACCACUUCUGCAAUAAAAAAAGUAAUUUGCUCUAAAUUAAGAUCUUGCCAAAACUGAAAAGUUAGACAGGGCACUAGUGAAUUGAAUGUGCAAGAGAGACAAAGUGUCUAACAAAGUAAAAGCUGCUGCAUGACAAGGAUUGCCUCUGCUCUCACAAGGAACUCGACUAGCAAGGAAAUCUCCUUGUGGAGUACAAACACGAGCAAACCUAUGACAGCAAAUGAGGCAACGGGAAACCACAGAAAUAAAGAUGUAGAAA